rnacentral:rRNA from 1 species
GAUGAACGCUAGCGGCAGGCUUAACACAUGCAAGUCGAGGGGCAGCACGUCUUCGGAUGGUGGCGACCGGCGCACGGGUGCGUAACGCGUAUAGAACCUACCUUUUACAGGGGAAUAGCCCAGAGAAAUUUGGAUUAAUGCCCCAUAGUAUUAUUAGAUGGCAUCAUUUGAUAAUUAAACAUUUAUGGGUAAAAGAUGGCUAUGCGUUCUAUUAGCUAGAUGGUAAGGUAACGGCUUACCAUGGCGACGAUAGAUAGGGGUCCUGAGAGGGAGAUCCCCCACACUGGUACUGAGACACGGACCAGACUCCUACGGGAGGCAGCAGUGAGGAAUAUUGGACAAUGGGCGAGAGCCUGAUCCAGCCAUGCCGCGUGCAGGAAGGCGGUCCUAUGGAUUGUAAACUGCUUUUAUACAGGAAGAAACACUCCCUCGUGAGGGAAUUUGACGGUACUGUAUGAAUAAGCACCGGCUAACUCCGUGCCAGCAGCCG